GUCCAUAGUAGCCAAAAGCUCGUUCCAAUUCAGUUUUGUUGCCAUUGUUUCCAAGGUUACCUACAUAAACCUUGCAGUCCAGCGGACAAGAGUCACGAUGCAUCACUAGAAGAGAAAUACUUAAAGAGGUAUAAAAGAAGCUGGAAGACACACACUGGCAUUGCAAUUUGAACUUCACUAGAGGACUUGGUGCGAGACGGAGCUGUGCUGAUCUGGAUUUGACCCUGUACUGUACCCUUUAGGAUCAACACAGAUACAAAGAAGUCAGAAGAUGGUCC